rnacentral:rRNA from 1 species
GACGAACGCUGGCGGCGUGCCUAAUACAUGCAAGUCGUGCGGACCUUGUUGAAAGCUUGCUUUUAAAAGGUUAGCGGCGGACGGGUGAGUAACACGUGGGCAACCUGCCUGUAAGACUGGGAUAACGCCGGGAAACCGGGGCUAAUACCAGAUCGUUUUUUCCUCCGCAUGGAGGAAAAAGGAAAGGCGGCUUCGGCUGCCACUUACAGAUGGGCCCGCGGCGCAUUAGCUAGUUGGCGGGGUAAUGGCCCACCAAGGCAACGAUGCGUAGCCGACCUGAGAGGGUGAUCGGCCACAUUGGGACUGAGACACGGCCCAAACUCCUACGGGAGGCAGCAGUAGGGAAUCUUCCGCAAUAGACGAAAGUCUGACGGAGCAACGCCGCGUGAGUGAAGAAGGCCUUCGGGUCGUAAAACUCUGUUGCCGGGGAAGAACAAGUGCCGUUCGAACAGGGCGGCGCCUUGACGGUACCCGGCCAGAAAGCCACGGCCAACUACGUG